AGGAAUUUAGGUUAAAACAGACCAAGAGCCUUCAAAGCCCUAAGUAAGUACAUCAUACUUAACUCCUG
rnacentral:tRNA from 1 species